rnacentral:rRNA from 1 species
UACGAAGGGGGCUAGCGUUGCUCGGAAUUACUGGGCGUAAAGGGCGCGUAGGCGGAUAGUUUAGUCAGAGGUGAAAAGCCCCAGGGCUCAACCUUGGAAUUGCCUUUGAUACUGGCUAUCUUGAGUUCGGGAGAGGUGAGUGGAAUGCCGAGUGUAGAGGUGAAAUUCGUAGAUGAUUCGGCGGAACACCAGUGGCGAAGGCGACUGCACUGGCCCGAUACUGACGCUGAGGUGACGAAGCGUGGGGAGCAAACAGG